AUUAUUGAAAAUGAUGCAGGUCGAUAUGAUGCUGAGAGCACUUUAACUUUCGUACCAAAGAUGUUGGACCAUGGGAAACAUCUCCUGUGCAUGGCAGUUCUACCUACAUUAUCCACCACUUGGUCUGUGAAUGAUAGCAUGGUUCUAAACGUAACAGGAUUAUUGGAUUGGAUACUAUCACUCUGAUCUCAAAUGGCUUAUCAAAAUUGGUGCUUGUUUGCUCUUCUUGUUUUUGGCAAAGGCUCCCCCUCUACCAUGUCUACAGCCACGAUAUCUUUUCAACCAAGACAGUCGCUACCCGUCAUAGGACAAGAUUUUACGAUGGAGUGCACCUAUUCCCCUCCUUCGAAUGUUCGCACU